UACGUAGGGUGCGAGCGUUGUCCGGAAUUAUUGGGCGUAAAGGGCUCGUAGGCGGUUUGUCGCGUCGGGGAGUGAAAACCAGGUGCUUAACACCUGGCUUGCUUUCGAUACGGGCAGACUAGAGGUAUGCAGGGGAGAACGGAAUUCCUGGUGUAGCGGGUGAAAUGCGCAGAUAUCAGGAGGAACACCGGUGGCGAAGGCGGGUCUCUGGGCCGAUACUGACGCUGGAGGAGCGAAAGCGUGGGGAGCAAACAGG
rnacentral:rRNA from 1 species